CGCAGCCGCGGUAAUUCCAGCUCCAAUAGCGUAUAUUAAAGUUGUUGCAGUUUAAAAGCUCGUAGUUGAAUUUCGGGGUCAGUAAGUUGGUCGUGCCAAUGGUAUGUACUGGCUUUACUGAUUCCUCCUUCUUGAAGAACUGUAAUGCCAUUAAUUUGGUGUUGCAGGGAAUCAGGACUGUUACUUUGAAAAAAUUAGAGUGUUUAAAGCAGGCUUACGCUUGAAUACAUUAGCAUGGAAUAAUGAAAUAGGACGUUGAUCUUAUUUUGUUGGUUUCUAGGAUUGACGUAAUGAUUAAUAGGGAUAGUUGGGGGCAUUAGUAUUCAAUUGUCAGAGGUGAAAUUCUUGGAUUUAUUGAAGACUAACUACUGCGAAAGCAUUUGCCAAGGAUGUUUUCAUUAAUCAAGAACGAAAGUUAGGGGAUCGAAGACGAUCAGAUACCGUCGUAGUCUUAACCACAAACUAUGCCGACUA
rnacentral:rRNA from 1 species